UCGCGAUUACGGACCGUCGUGGCGCCUUCCUCGUCAUUCCUCUGUCCUCGUAAAAUUUUUGCCAAUUCUGUAUUGCUCUAUGGAACGUCUAAAUAGUGUGCUUUUGAUGUGACGUGUUAUAUAUUUAUGUAUAUAUAUAUCUAUUUUUUUUAAAUUAUUCGGCGUAAGGUUGGUGUUAUUCGCGGUGGAAAAGACGACGCAAAAAAUAUUGCAGUGAGAGAAAAUGAUGCAGGAUGAAGACUUGGGUAGCUCAGUGAGAAAAAAUAUUUUCAGUCAAGGGAUAAUAAGAAUAUCACAGAUAUAUCAAAGAUACCUAGAUCUAUGGACUCCUCAUGUAAUAUCGCGUUGGACAUUUGCUUUAUUCUUAUUAGUACUUUUUAUUCUACGUAUAUUUAUCU